rnacentral:rRNA from 1 species
UGCAUGGCUGUCGUCAGCUCGUGUUGUGAAAUGUUGGGUUAAGUCCCGCAACGAGCGCAACCCUUAUCCUUUUGUUGCCAGCGGUUCGGCCGGGAACUCAAAGGAGACUGCCAGUGAUAAACUGGAGGAAGGUGGGGAUGACGUCAAGUCAUCAUGGCCCUUACGAGUAGGGCUACACACGUGCUACAAUGGCAUAUACAAAGAGAAGCGACCUCGCGAGAGCAAGCGGACCUCAUAAAGUAUGUCGUAGUCCGGAUUGGAGUCUACAACUCGACUCCAUGAAGUCGGAAUCGCUAGUAAUCGUAGAUCAGAAUGCUACGGUGAAUACGUUCCCGGGCCUUGUACACACCGCCCGUCACACCAUGGGAGUGGGUUGCAAAAGAAGUAGGUAGCUUAACCUUCGGGAGGGCGCUUACCACUUUGUGAUUCAUGACUGGGGUGAAGUCGUAACAGGGUAAC